rnacentral:ncRNA from 1 species
AUACAUGCUAUGAAAAAGAGGAGUAUGUUGAAAGAUAUCCUUUAGAGAUGAGAGUCCUAGGCUGAAAGACUCUUGGAUAAUCCCAACAGAAUGUAGCUUUUGAGCAGUUGUGCUGAAAGUAAGUAAGUACAAACGUCUGGUCCCGUUAUCGACUCAUAAGUGCCUAGCUAGGCUAGGAAUUAAGGUGGUACCACGGUCUGAUCGUCCUUUAU